UUUCCGUAGGUGAACCUGCGGAAGGAUCAUUAUCAAACAGCGGACUUCGGUCCUUGCUGCACCCUUUGUCUUUGCGUACUGUAUGUUUCCUCGGUGGGCUCGCCCGCCGAUAGGACAUUCUAUAAACCCUUUGUAAUUGCAAUCAGCGUCAGAAAAAACUAUAAUAGUUACAACUUUCAACAACGGAUCUCUUGGUUCUGGCAUCGAUGAAGAACGCAGC
rnacentral:misc_RNA from 1 species